ensembl:snoRNA Y95B8A.18 ncRNA
AGGAAAAAUCGAAAAUUUAAUGUUUUCUUUUUUGGCUUCUUCCGGAAAAUCCAAAAAUUUUGAAUUUUUUGGAUUUGUUUUCAGAAAAAUUGGAAAAAUUUGGAUUUUUCAGGAAAAAGCCUAACAAUUUCAAAUUUUGCUUU